rnacentral:lncRNA from 1 species
GGUAAAUCUAUUUGCAUGCAUGUAGCAAUUACCUCCAUGAGCUUCCCAAGAUCGAACUUGGGGGCCUUGAGUAUCUUCACCUUGCGGAUGAAGACGUUUUGAAGUGGGAAGAUGCUGGAGGUAGACUUCUCAAUCUCCUUACCAAUAACUUCUGGAAUGAACUUCGAAACAAGUUCUUUCAGGUCACAUGUAGAAGCCUGGUUGAUCAUAAUCUCAACCAUCUUACGGCGGAUCUGCGCACAAUACAUGGCAAGUAUAAAGAUAACAGGCAAAUAUAGCAGGUGACUGUUUGACGUUUUGAGAAAUUGCUACAGUUUUACGACUGCUGCAUAUGUGGAAAGAACAGAAACGUUACCUGACGGAUCUGGGAUGCCUGAGCAUAGCAGGUUCUCUUGACCUGGUUUGGGCGCCUCUUGGUGAAGCCGAUGCAGAACAAACGCAACAUGUAGUUGUCGGUUGUCUUGACAUCAACAUGGGCUUCGAUUAAUGUCUGCCACUUCUUCACUAGGGACCUCAAUUUAUCAGUGGUAAAAUUCAUACCCUAGUAAUAGAAAACAAAUUAGUGAUAAACAACACAACAAAGGGCAACAGCUGCUAGCAAAAGAAUGCCGAUCAUUACCCAAAAGUUUGUGAGCACAUUCCUGCCCUGCACAUCUUCAGCACGGAGCCUGAUUUUCCUGUAAGCUUGAUCCUCGUCGCCCUGAAGAUCAGCUAGGCAAACCUCAAAGACUCUGUGCUUCAGACCCUCAGAAGCAAUCUAAAACCAGAGAAAGUACGUCAAUCGAAAAAUCAGGACAGUAAGCAGUGCAUCUACGUUCUGAAUAACAUUGCAAACAAAGCGGCACCUAAUAAGACUAAUCAUAUCCAUGCCAUUAAAAGAUCAUGUGACCUUCAGUGAUAGAUCAUUGAUGAACAAGGACAAGUUGCCAUUCGGGUGCUCAAGUAAAUGGCGAUUCGUUAUUGUCCAUAUAAAAGCAAAAGGAUUGAAUAAUAAUAAUCGUUCCAACAGAAAGUGCAAAAAUGAUAGGUGCGGUUCUAGUUGCAUUGCACUGAAUGAUACCUCUUCAGGAACAGCUUAGAAUAAGCACGCAAGGCUGCGAUCUCAAAUACUGACAAACUAUCUAUCAAGCAAAUCCGAACAAACUUAAUUACCUGUUACCUCUCCUACGAAUUCUUGCAAUGAAACCUGAAUAGUCCCCACAAACAAACGCGCGAACGAGCGUAUCUAAUAUACCGCAUGACUAGCGCGGUCUACAUACACAUGCAUAUAUGCGCAAGUUCACAACACACAAUGUAGGGGCAGUACGAAAAAAUAUCGAUAGUCAAAAAAAAACAUACCCUGGUACCCUGUGUCCUGGAUACGAGAGUCUUCCCGAUGUUGCGCACACUGAACACCGACGGUGCCUUGAUGUCAUACCAAUCCUUCUUAGAGAAAGGGUCGACGCUGCAUAAAAGAAGUAUCGCAACCACACAACAGCAUCAGCAACGGAUAAAGAAAGAAAGCAAUCGACCCAAGCUAGAUCUGAAGAACUGGGAUAUAACAGGCAAGCAAACUAACGUCUUUUUCUUGCCACCCUUCUUUCCCUUGGAGAUCCUCUUGUUCUUCCCGACAGCCAUGGUCGCCGCCGCCGCCGCCGCCGCGCUGGUGCUUGGGGUCUCGGACGGUAGAGAGUUGUCGGCUGCUCUGCGGGAGAAAGCACUUCGGAGGCAGAGCGGACUACUAUAUACGAUUCGAGGGUUUCCAGGUUCGAUCAUGCGGUCAGCAGGCACGCAAGAGCGGAUGGACGCACACGAUGCGGUGUGGCCCAUAUGUGUGCUUCGAGGCAUGGUUGGCCCAUUUGAUUCGGCCCAUCUGCAGCGUAACGGACGGUGCAGAGAAAGUGAGUUCAGGAACACUACGGGCUGCGGUGGCAAUACGGAGUUCACUCGAAUUUGGAAUCGGCUUUCAAUAAUAACAAUUAUGCAAUGAGAUUAAAAAAGUGCAACAAUAAUAUAUAUAUGGUUAUGUGUUGUUAAUUAAUCCUAACGAUACUACAUCUCAGAUUGUUAUGUAUGUAAAAUGAGUUUUUAAGGGGUUCACAUGCAGAUCAAAUUAUGCAUAGUUCUUUCUUUGAUUAUAAAAGCACUAAAAUGGAGAGAAUGAGUAAAAAAACAUUAUUUUGCCAUGAUACUAAAAACAAAAAACCUGAGGUCCAAAAGAAACAUAAGACAAAUUCUCCCAAUCCUAGGACACGGAGGCAUGCUGGUUCCAGUCCAUCCCAAAGGAGCCCAUUCCAAAAUCCAAAAUCUGAGACUGGGUCGUGUCUUCCCAAGCAACUAAGCAACAAAAUGAUAGAGAGAAGCAUGUCAAUUAUGUUUGGAAGGACUAAAUUGCAUUGUCUAAACAACAAGCUAAACUCCACAUGCAGUCAUAUGGUCUUGAUAUUUAUCUCCAGGUAGCCACACCAUUUUUAUCUCGAGGUGGACAUGAAAGGUUGUUAAUCUGGAAUAAUAUAUUCUCUCUCUACUCUAGUUCACCUUUUACAACAUUGUGACAUUUCUAGGGGCACAUAACAUAAUUAUCUUCAUCCAAAACAUUCAUAUUCACAAAUCCAUAAGGAAAAAGGAGUUGAUGAUAUGAAUAACUCACAGUGUACAAAUGGCCCAUAAAUUGUUAUGUGCUCGCUUCUGCUAGCUUCAUCUACAGUGCAGUUAGUCACUGCUACAAUAAUUUGUUGCAUCAGUGGUUGGCUGCUGCCGUAGUCAGUGGUAAAUAUUAGGCUAGGCAGUAAAUGUCAUUAUAUAUUGAUACGAUACACUACAUCAUUACACCAGGCACUUGAAGAAAGAAUGGUAAGAGGCCCAUCCACAUCCGAAAUAUGAGCUCCAACAAUGAUAGUUUCAAAUUAGUGGCAUUACGAGUGUCACACAAUUGUUACUUGGUACUCAUCAUUACUCAUAUAUCAUUGUAGAGGAUUUGGCAUAGCAGAAAGUACCGAGUACCAAGAAUCCUAGAUUUAUUCAAAAAAAUCCAGGUACUUGUUCGAAGUGCCGAUAGACACAAGGAGACUACGACCAGCUCUUGUGAAGUUGAGCAGGACAUUUUUGCUAGACGACAAUGAAGACGAUGGCUCGAUCUUGAGGCCCAAUCGUCCUUCACUCGUCUCGAUAUAUGUGGAUAAGCACCUCCAUUGUUUCCUACAGUUAUAGAUAGAUUUUCUUUUAAUCCAUCCUUUUAGAUCUUUUCUGCCUUCUGUACAUCAAUUCAGACUUAUCAAACAAAGGUUUCAAACCACAAUGAGCAUUGAAACUGUUGUAGAUACAAAGCAAUAACACUUCAAAUGUGUACAGUUAAAGUAUUGGCUACAGAACAUCAUAUACAUUUCCUAUAAAAUAGAUAAACAAUGGAAGUAAUGGUUCAAUUUAAACUAAUUGACUACCACUAAGGGUAUACCAUGUCCCCUUUCCCCUAUUCUAUAGCAUGUGCUUUUAGUAGUCGCAUUCAAAAAGUAGAACCAAAAUUUUCUUAUUAAAAAGGGACGAGGGAUAUGUAUUCAAUGAGAUUAUUAGUCAUCUACCGAGGAUAUUAUAUUUUUGAAAAGCACUAUUGGUGAUCAUUAAUACUAUAUCCCAUAUCUUAGAACCAGCACUAUUUUACUGGAGAUAAAUUAUUAGGUUGAGCUCCUUUUGGAUACCAAGAUUGCAAUGGAUGAACUAAAUUGGACCUCAAAUCAAAUUCAUAGAGAAUUGCAUUGCCAUUCCAUUCUAUUUCUAUCAUUAUAGUUAUAUUGUAAAGUUGGCACAUGAACAAGAAUUUGGAAAAUAAAUGCGAUCAUUUUCAAAAAAAAUGUGAUAAAAUUAAAUUCAGGUUUUGAGGCUUUGUUACUACGAACGGAUAGAAUCCUCAAUCGUGAUUCCAGAACUCUGCCAGCUUCAUCAACGAGACAUGAACUAGCAUUGUCCACUAUCAUAGAUGUCCAUAUAUAAACUCCAUUGUUGGUCACUUGUUCUCAAGUACUGUGAAUAAAAAACAAGACAACACAAUUGUUAGAGAUUAGGGACAUUCGUCUAUCGAAACAUUAUCUCCUUUCGGAUACAAUGGUUCUCGGACAAAGGUUUUGAAGGACACACCUUCAUCAUUCACGAGAAUAGCAAUUCGUGCACAUAUGAUAAACAUUAUUCAUUCAUAUAUAAAUUCAAUUAUUCAUUUCAUGAUAAACAUAUGAACAAGAUUCAUGUUACAUUGAUAUCUCCGGCUUGCUCGAAGGUGUUGUCGCGAGAGAAUGAUUACAAUACAGCGUAAACAGUACGGUUGUACUGUUCACCUAUUUAUAAGCACGAUACACAACUGGGUAAAAAUACAUGUCGGCGUUUCGAGACCGGGGGGUCCCUGGGCCGACGAGUGAAUGUCGCCGCGUGCCCCAGCCCAGAUGGGUCGAGCGAGAAGGGGGGAGAGCGAGGCGGCCGGAGACCGGCGUGAGAGAGGUGGGAAUCUCGCGGCCUUCGUGUUCGUCCCGCGCCCAGGUCGGGUGCGCUUGCAGUAGGGAGUUACAAGCGUCCACGCGGGAGAGGGAGCGAGCGGCUUCAAGCGAGCGCCUAUCUCGUCCUCGUCCCCGCGCGGCCAACCCUCUCUAAGAGGGCCCUGGUCCUUCCUUUUAUAGGCGUAAGGAGAGGAUCCAGGUGUACAAUGGGGGGUGUAGCAGAGUGCUACGUGUCUAGCGGAGGAGAGCUAACGCCCUAAGUACAUGCCGUUGUGGCAGCCGGAGAGAUUUUGGCACCCAGCUAGUGUGAUGUCGUGGCCGUCGGAGGAGCGACGGAGCCUGACGGAGGGACAGCUGUCGGAGCGGUUGAGUCCUUGCUGACGUCCUCCUGCUUCCGUAAGGGGACUGAGAGCCGCCGUCGUCACAGAGUAUGCGGGGCGCCAUCAUUGCCUAUCUAGCGGAGCGAGCCAUAUGGGACGCCGGUCUUGUUCCCUGCGGCCCGAGUCAGCUCGGGGUAGGGUGAUGAUGGCGCCUCCUGUCGACGUGGCUGGUCUGCGCCCUAGGUUGGGCGAUGCGGAAGCUCCUCCGAAGUCGAGGUCGAGUCUGUCUUCCGUGGCCGAGGUCGAGUCCGAGCCCCUGGGUCGGGCGAGGCGGUGUUCGUCGUCUUCUAGGGCUGAGCCCAAGUCUGAGCCCUGGGUCGGGCGGAGCGGAGUUCGUCGUCUUCUGGGGCUGAGCCCAAGUCCGAGCCCUGGGUCGGGCGGAGCGAAGUUCGCCGUCUUCCGGGGCUGAGCCCGAGUCUGAGCCCUGGGUCGGGCGGAGCGGAGUUCGCCGUCUUCCGGGACUUAGCCCGUGUCCGAGCCCUGGGUCGGGCGGAGCGGAGUUCGCCGUCUUCUGGGGCUGAGCCCGAGUCCGAGCCCUGGGUCGGGCGGAGCGGAGUUCGCCGUCUUCCGGGACUUAGCCCGAGUCCGAGCCCUGGGUCGGGCGGAGCGGAGUUCGCCGUCUUCCGGGACUUAGCCCGAGUCCGAGCCCUGGGUCGGGCGGAGCGGAGUUCACCGUCUUUCGGGACUUAGCCCGAGUCCGAGCCCUGGGUCGGGCGGAGCGGAGCUUCCUAUGGUGCCUUCGGCAGGGCCUGACUGCCUGUCAGACUCACUCUGUCAAGUGGCACCGCAGUCGGAGUGGCGCAGGCGGCGCUGUCCUUCUGUCAGGCCGGUCAGUGGAGCGGCGAAGUGACGACGGUCACUUCGGCUCUGCCGGCUGGGGGGCGCGCGUCAGGAUAAAGGUGUCAGGUCACCUUUGCAUUAAAUGCUCCUGCGAUUUGGUCGGUCGGUGCGGCGAUUUAGUCAGGGUUGCUUCUUGGCGACGGCAGGGCCUCGGGCGAGUCGGAAAUAUGUUCGCCGCUGGAGGGGGGCCUCGGGCGAGACAGAAAUCCUCCGGGGUCGGCUGCCCUUGUCCGAGGCUAGGCUCGGGCGAGGCGUGAUCGAGUCCCUCGAAUGGACUGAUCCCUGACUUAAUCGCGCCCAUCAGGCCUUUGCAGCUUUAUGCUGAUGGGGGUUACCAGCUGAGAAUUAGGAGCCUUGAGGGUACCCCUAAUUAUGGUCCCCGACAGUAGCCCCCGAGCCUCGAAGGGAGUGUUAGCACUCGCUUGGAGGCUUUCGUCGCACUUUUUUGCAAGGGGACCAGCCUUUCUCGGUUGCGUUUUGUUCCGGUGGGUGCGCGCGAGCGCACCCGCCGGGUGUAGCCCCCGAGGCCUCGGAGGAGUGGUUUCACUCCUUCGAGGUCUUAAUGCCUUGCGUAAUGCUUCGGCUGGUCUGGUUGUUCCCUCAUGCGAGCUGGCCGUAGCCCGGGUGUACGGUCGGGUCCCAAGUUCUCGGGCUGGUAUGUUGACGCUGUCAACGGUUCGGCCGGAGCCGGGUUUGCGAGAGCAGCCCCGAGCCUCUGCACAGGGCGAGAGGGCGAUCAGGGACAGACUCGGCUUUUUUACAUACGCCCCUGCGUCGCCUUUCCGCAAGGAGGAGGGGGGGAAAGCGCCAUGUUGCCCUCGAUGGGCGCCGAACAUGGUGUCUCCGGUGAGCUGCAAGCGGGUAAUCCGAGUGGACGUCCGUGCCCCGUUUGUUAGGGGUCGGCUAGGGGCCCAGAGGCACGCCCAAAAGUACCUGCGGGUGAUCUGCCGGACCCGGUCCCCUGGCGACGGGGUCCGAGGGCUCGAUGCCUCCCUCUGAUGGGAUUCCGUUACAAGAUCGUUCCCGCUGGUCUCGGAAAUGUCCUAGGGUACCUCGGGAGCGCAGCCCGAGCCUUGGUUAUGUAUCGAACGUACCCAUGGUCAUCCCUCGCUCGGCGUCUGAGGCGGCUGUGAACCCUUCGGGGGCCAGCCUUCGAACCCCUGAUCAGUAAUGGGCGCGGAGCCCGAGUAGCCUGAGGCGGCCGUGGAACCCUUCCGAGGGGCCGGCCUUCGAACCUCUAACCAGUAGUGAGUGUAGGGCCCACGCGAUCUGAGGCGGCUGUUGAACCCUUCCGGGGGGCCAGCCUUCGAACCUCUGAUCAGUAGGGAGGCUCGGAGCCUGGUUCCUUCCCGGGGAAGGAUCCUUUUCGGGGUAUCCCCCUUUCCCGGUCCCUAUUGCAAGAGAGAGAAAGAGGAAAAAAGGAAAAGGAUACGAAAUCGAACGACACGGCGUACCUUUUUUGAUGCGGUUAUUAUGGCGAAGGCGAAGUGUCGCUUGCUUCUCCUGCCAGAGGCGCCGCCUGUCCUACCGCGGAGUUAAUGCGACGGGGCGAGUGGUUCACGGGGCGGCCGUUGCGCGUGCGCGAGCCGUUCGGGGAACGGCUGUUUCGCUUUGCGUUUUUGAAUCCCGCGUCCGGUCCGGGCGGAACGUUUGAACCGGUCUCGCCUUGGUCUUUAUAUAUUCGGGAGAGGGUCUGGUGACGGUUCUUUGCUCCGCUUCCUGCCUCCCUCUUAGGUUUUCGCAACCCGAGAGACUUAGCCAGAGAAGAGGAAGCCGCCCUCCCUGCCCCUUGCGCCGCCACCCCUUUCGCUUGGUGAUGGCUGACCGGGUGACCAUCAUCUCGCCGCGCGACCCAUGGCCUUUUUCCAUGGUGAUGGCGAGUGAUCUGGAGGAUCUUGUUGGCGAGGGUUUACUCCGCCCUCUCACCGAUGAGCAGCGACCGGAAUGGAUUCCCCCCGUGGGCGGAGCCGCUCCGUCCCCACCACCGGGGUACAUCGUGAGCUUCGUCUCCUUCCACGAGCGGGGAUUUGGUGUGUCGGCGAGCCGCUUCAUGCGGGCGAUCCUGCACCACUACGGGGUGGAGUUGCAUAACCUCAGCCCCAACUCCAUCUCGCAAGCCGCCAUCUUCGUAGCGGUGUGCGAGGGGUACUUGGGGAUCGCCCCCCAUUGGGAUUUGUGGACCCAUCUCUUUUUCGCGGAGCUUUUUGCCUCACCGACGGGGGAGAGGAAGGUCCGCGCAGCGGUGCGGGCCGGUGGCUGCACCGUCCUGCUGAGGCAGUCGCGGGGCGUCGCUGUAUAUUCCUGCCAUCCUCGCGUCCUCGAACAAGGGGUGGCAGCGCCGGUGGUUCUACCUCCGGAAUGACGGCGAGUUGCUCCCGCCGUUCUCCCAGCGAGUAGUCACCACCACCGCCGAUGCUUGGCGCCACGGGACCCCGCACGAAAGACAAAAGAACCUCGAACCCCUUCUCAAGGCCUUGGAGGCGUUGCGGAAAGGGGGACUCACCGCUGCGGGAGUGAUUGCCGCCAUCCACCGUCGGAGGGUGCUUCCCUUGGCGGAGCGACGGCUGUCGCUUUGGGAGAUGACGCCGGAGGCUGACUUGGAGGGCUCGCGGAUGUCCUCUGAUCCUCUUCCCUUCGAUGUCCUCCACGGGCGGGUGUCCAUCGCGUUGGGCAAACCGGACCCCAGCGCCUUCUCCCAGCUUUUGAUGCGCCCAGACCAAGGGUGUGUGACUCUGGUGAGUGUCCGCUUCUUCCUUUCUCUUGCAUCGGGUUGCUCCUGGUUCUUACGAUUGGGGUUUUCCCCCUUCUUCAGGAGGUGGGGUGGCACAAGCCUUCCCUGCCACGGGUCCCGCAGGAUGCGGUGGACCGAGCAGCGCGACGGGUCGCCGCGGAGGAGAAGAAGAAAAAGAAGGACGCGAGAAGGUCCGAGCCCGCGAGCGGAGGCGGGCUCGAGACGCCUUGGAAAAGCUUCGUCGCCGGCAGGAGAGGGAGGGGCUCCCGAGGGAGCCGUCGCCGGAAACGCCCGACGACGGCGACGAUGAUGAAGAUGAUGACGAGGAGGACGACAUGGCUACCCGCCUUGGCCUCAGCCCCGGCUUGGGGUUUGGCCAGGAGCCGUCAAGCCAGCCCCCGAGCGGGCUGAUGCCGUCAGUCCCCGGAGUCGGGACGCCGGGGUCCCGGCCCGAGGGGCGGGGGCAAUCCGAGAGGGCACUUGACCCCUCGGCUGGAGGAGCUGAGGCGACCCCGGGGAGCCAGGCCGGGGCGUCUGCUCCCCAAGAGCCGCCGCCCGCGCCGGCAGCGCAGGGGAGCGACCCUUAGGUCGCCGUGGCAGUGCCUGGGCAGUCCGCCCCCCGGGCGUCCAGGGCGCCCAAAGCAAGGGUGGUGCCGAAGCUGCCGGUGAGGCGGACCUCGGCGGCGGUUCCGGGGGUCGAGGUCCAAGAGACCUCCCCCCAGGCGCGGUUGAUCCUGGCCCGGAGCGGGUAAGUACCUUGGAAUGUCUUCGUCCUGGCUUUUCAUUCAUAUGUCCCGGCCGUGAUUUUUCUUUUUCCCUCAGCAAGCGAAGCCAUGGCCUGACCGACCUGGCACCCCGGAAGGCCCUUAAGACGGCGCCGGCUUGCGCGGUCAGCGCCGCUCCGGGCCUUGCCGUUCAGCUGACCUUCUCGCAAGGUGCUCCACAGCAGGGGGCUCAGGCGGCAUCAGUCGCCGUGGAGCGGGUUCCCGAGGCUGGCUCUUCUGCUGAGGCGGCCAUUGUGAUAGGGGAGGCGACUGACGUGGACGUGGCCCCGUGCCCACCGGACGUGCCGGCCGUGCCGGCGCCUGUCGCUACUGAAGUCGCCGCCGCCCCAGUCGGGGAGCGACCGGUCGCUGCUGACGUUGAGACGGCUGAGGCGUCGGCGCUUGGUGCCUCGGAAGAGGGGGGCGUGGAGACGCGAUCCGUCCCGCCGGGCGGCAGCCUCGUCGCUGUGCGGCGGAGCUCCGAGGGCCAGCGUCAGUUGCUCCGGUUCCGGACCCGUGAGGCCUCGAAUCCCGUCUUCGUUCUCGACGAUGAACGGGAGGACCAGUCCUGGGACGAGCUCCGCGAGUGUGCCGAAGCAAUGGUGGGGUCGCUCCGGUCGUCGCUGGAGGUUUUCUGCAGGGACGUCCCCAAAAUCCUCCAGGUAGCGGUUUCAGGCAUACCUUUUCUCUUUUGUGACCAAGGCGUCUUUCGUGACGCCCUGCUUCCUUCCCUCAGGAUCUGAUGGAUCGGAGCGCCGCCAAGUCGUCGUUCAUCCGCCGCGAGGUCGACGUCUGGGGCUCGCUGCGAUCCCUGAGGACCUCGCUCGCCGGGGCUACUGCGCGCCUCUCUCAGCAGGGUGCCGAGGUAGCGGACCUUCAGUUGCUCUGCACCGAUCUGAGAGCCGAGGCGGCAGCGGCGCGCGCGGAGGCGGCCGCGGCGCGCGCAGAAGCGCAACGACAGCAGUCGGAGUUCGACCGGGUCGUCAAGGAGCGGGACCAAUCUCGGGGCCGGGCUGCCGAGGCCGAAAGCCGGGCCGAAACCCUUGCAGCCGACUUAGCCGUAGCCCAGGUCGCAGCCUCGGAGCAGCGUGCCCGAGCCGGAGGUACGCCUUGGCCAUCCUUGGUUUUCGUUCCUGCUUGUUUCCUCUGCUUGUGUUUGAGAUCUUUCUUCUGGCUGUUCGCAGAGCUCGAGUCCACCCUUGAUGAGUCCGCCAAGGCGCUUGCCGGGGCGGCCGAGCAGAGGGAGGCCGACCACGCGGCCAUGUCCGAGGCCGUCUCGGACGUUUACCGGGUCCUUGGCUCCGGCGAUGUCCCCUCAGGAAGCUCCCCUCAAAGUCGCCUUCAAGUCUUGGGCGAUCAUGUGCGCGGCAGACUCCGCGAGGCGCUACACCACAGCGUCAGGCGGGCCUUCGCCGUGCUCGCUUCCCACUAUGUUGUGGACCUGGAGCGGGUUAGCGGAGGGGUAUUGCCUUCCCGACGAAGAUGAAGCCGCCCUGGCAGAUGUCCAGAGGCUCGAUGCGGCCGCCGCGGGUCCGAGCGCAGUGCUGGCGACCACCUUUGAGGCGGAGAUCCUCCCACCUGCGUCGUCGCCGGAAGCCGGGAUGGACUUUGCCGAAGGUGGGGACAGAGCUGAAGGCGCGGCUCCUUCCCAAGGCGACGCCUAACUCUGUUGGAACAGUUUCUGUUGGAUGCACGUGUGUCUUUCUGCGGCCGCUGAGGCCUAAACACUUUGUUACCAUUGCAUGAAGUCGUACUCCUUUCCCUUUUAUUUUGCGUGUCCGGCUUCGCCUGUUAGUAACAGGGUGGCUUCCCCAAGUAGGUGUCACUUUUCGUGGCGGGUGACGAGUGAGGUGUCCCUAACCCGGAGGCAUAGGAGUCCCUUGGCUCAGUCGGCCUUGCCACUUACAUGCACCCACGUUCGCUCCUUAGGGUCCUGCUUCUGACAUAGCCGGGGGAACGCAAAAGCCUUUUUGAUUGAAAAUUUUGGACGCAGAGAGGUUCCCCAAUCUUGACGCAGAGGGGUUCCCCCCUUUUUAGCCCCCGAGGGAGGGUUGGGCUCUGCCGAGGCGAGGCUGACCCUUCCUUGACGACUAAGACUUGCGUGGGAGCGAGGUAUACGAACAACUUGAAAACACCUUAAGGGUAGAAGCGACGUAGUUGUUGGAUGUUCCAAGCGUUGUCGUAGACCUCGCCUUGACUGUUGGCCAGCUUGUACGUUCCGGGCUUCAGAACUUUGGCGAUGACGAACGGUCCCUCCCAGGGGGGCGUGAGCUUGUGCCUCCCUCGGGUGUCUUGUCGCAGCCGAAGCACCAGGUCGCCCACCUGGAGGUCUCGGGACUGGACCCCUCGAGCGUGGUAGCGUCGCAGGGACUGCUGGUACCGCGCCGAGUGUAGUAAGGCCUUGUCCCGAGCCUCCUCCAGCUGGUCCAGCGAGUCUUCUCGGCUAGCUUGGUUGCUUUGAUCGCUAUAGGCCCUCGUCCUCGGGGAGCCGUAUUCCAGGUCUGUGGGCAAGACGGCCUCGGCCCCGUAGACUAGGAAGAACGGCGUGAAGCCCGUGGCUCGGCUCGGCGUCGUCCUCAGGCUCCAGACCACCGAGGGGAGUUCCUUCAUCCAUCGCUUGCCGAACUUGUUGAGGUCGUUGUAGAUCCGAGGCUUGAGCCCUUGUAGAAUCAUGCCGUUGGCACGCUCUACUUGCCCAUUUUACAUGGGAUGAGCCACGGCGGCCUAGUCCACCCGGAUGUGGUGAUCCUCGCAGAAGUCCAAGAACUUUCUGCCGGUGAACUGGGUGCCGUUGUUGGUGAUGAUGGAGUUCGGGACCCCGAAGCGAUGGAUGAUGUUGGUGAAGAACGCCACCGCCUACUCGGACCUGAUGCUGUUCAGAGGUCGGACCUCGAUCCACUUGGAGAAUUUGUCGAUGGCGACCAGCAGGUGCGUGUAGCCCCCGGGUGCCUUCUGCAAGGGGCCGACGAGAUCCAGACCCCACACGGCGAAAGGCCAGGCGAUGGGUAUCGUCUGCAGAGCCUGAGCGAGCAGGUGGGUCUGCCUCGCGUAGAAUUGACACCCUUCGCAGGUGCGGACAAUUCUAGUGGCGUCGGCCACCGCCGUCGGCCAGUAGAAGCCUUGUCGGAAAGCAUUCCCGACAAGGGCUCGAGGCGCUGCGUGAUGGACGCAAGCCCCUGAGUGUAUCUCUCGCAUGAGUUCCUGACCUUCGGCGACGGAGAUGCAUCGCUGGAGGAUGCCAGAGGGGCUGCGGUGGUAGAGCUCCUUCUCAUCGCCCAGCAAGACGAACGACUUGGCGCGCCGCGCCACCCGCCGAGCCUCGGCUCGGUCGAGGGGUAGCUCUCCUUGGUGGAGAUAUUGCAGGUACGGGGUCUGCCAGUUUCGAUCAGGCGUGACCCCGCUUCGCUCCUCCUCGACGCGCAGUGCCUCACCCUCGGGGGCCGAGGGUACCUCGGGCUGAACCGAGGGCGCCUCGGGCCGAGCUGAGGGUGCCUCGGGCUGUGCCGAGGAUACCUCGGGCUGGGCCGAGGGUACCUCGGACUGGGUCGAGGGCGCCUCAGGCUCGGGCGUGUUGUCGAUCUUGACGGAGGGUUGAUGCAGAUCCCGGGAGAAGACGUCUGGGGGAACCUGAAAGGGAAAUGUGCCUUUGGGCCAUUUCUAAGUAUUUUGGUGAUUGAGUGCCAACACAAGUGCUUAAAUGUGAAUCUAUGCCCAUGGAUGAACAAAGUGCAAAACACAAGUAAAGGUAUGUUUCUAAGCCUUAGUACAUUGGUUUUGUGUACUAAUGUAUUUGUCUAAGUGUUAGAAACAGAGAGAAGAAGAAAAGGAGAAUGUUGGCUGUGUACAGCCAACAGGCUGUUUCGGUCUGGGGCACCGGACUGUCCGGUGGUGCACCGGACAGUGUCUGGUUCACCAGGCUGCCUCGACCUGAAGACGCCGCUCUCGGGAAUUUGCCGACGGCGUACGGCUAAAAUUCACCGGACUGUCCGGUGUGCACCGGACUGUCCGGUGAGCCAACGGUCGGCCGAGCCAACGGUCGGCCGCGGAAUCUGCGCGCAACACGUGGUCUGGCCAACGGUCGGAAGGAGGCACCGGACUGUCUGGUGUGCACCGGAAUGUCCGGUGCGCCAGAUCUGCAACGGUCGGCAACGGUCGGCUGCGCUGUUUAAGGAAAUAAAUCGGGCAUCGAACAGUGUCCGGUGUGCACCGGACUGUCCGGUGCACCCGACGACAGAAGGCAAGGAUGGCCUUCCAGAUUUGCUCUCAACGGCUCCUAGCUGCCUUAGGGCUAUAAAAGGGACCCCUAGGCGCAUGGAGAAGAUACUCAAGCAACCUUAGAGCAUUCUUGAUCAUCCACACUCAGUCUUUGCGCAUUCGUUUGUCAUUCUCAGUGAUUCGAGCUCCGUUCUAGUGAGAACUUUGAGAUAGUCUUUCGAGCUCGAUUCUUGGCCGUGUGUGUGCGCAUUUUGCUGUGGAUUUGUGUGUGUUGCUUCUCUCCCUUACUCCGUGCUUCUUUGUGAACUUCAAGUGUAAGGGUGAGAGACUCCAAGUUAUGGAGAUUCCUCGCGAACGAGAUAAGAAAGGAAAAGCAUAACACUGUGGUAUUCAAGUUGAUCAUUGGAUCACUUGAGAGGAGUUGAGUGCAACUCUCGUCCGUUGGGACGCCACAACGUGGAGUAGGCAAGUUUUGUACUUGGCCGAACCACGGGAUAAAUCACUGUGUCUUCUCUGUGUUGAACUUCUUGUGAUUAUCAUAUUGUGCAAGAUCUUCGCUCUAGCCACUUGGCAUUAGCUGUGCUAACGCUUAACAAGUUUUUGUGGCUAUAAGUUGAAUUUUACAGGAUCACCUAUUCACCCCCCCUCUAGGUGCUCUCAAUUGGUAUCAGAGCCGUUCUCUUCAAGAAAGGGACUAACCGCCCGAAGAGAUGGAUCCUAAGGGGAAGGGAAUCGUGAUCAAUGAUAAGGAGAAGGAGUCCUUCGUCAACGAGCCCAAAGAUGACAAGCCUACCGACUCCGGCUCGGGCCAUAGACGGAAGGAAGGGAAGAAGAAGAAGACAAGGCGCAUCAAGGAGAUUGUCUACAACGACGACAGCGACGAAUCUUCCUCUUCCCAAAAGGACGACGACAACGACUACAGGAAGACGGUCAAUUCGAACUUUUCAUUUGAUUAUUCUCGUAUUCCACAUAAUUCGAAUUCGCAUUUGCUUUCCAUUCCUCUUGGCAAACCUCCACACUUUGAUGGGGAGGACUACGGAUUUUGGAGUCACAAAAUGUGUAGUCACUUAUUCUCUCUUCAUCCAAGCAUAUGGGAGAUUGUAGAGAAUGGAAUGAAAUUUGAUAGCUCGGAUAGUCCUAUGCUUAUAAAUGAACAAAUCCAUAGAAAUGCACAAGCUACUACUGUUCUCUUAGCAUCUUUGUGCAGGGAAGAAUACAAUAAGAUGAGCGGCUUGGACAAUGCCAAGCAGAUAUGGGACACCCUCAAGAUCUCUCACGAGGGCAACGACGUCACCAUGCUCACCAAGAUGGAGUUGGUGGAGGGCGAACUUGGGAGAUUCGCUAUGAUAAGGGGGGAGGAGCCAACCCAAACAUACAACCGGCUCAAAACCCUUGUCAACAAGAUAAGGAGCUAUGGAAGCACGCGAUGGACGGACCACGACGUCGUCCGCCUAAUGCUAAGGUCCUUUACCGUUCUUGAUCCUCAUUUGGUGAAUAAUAUUCGUGAGAAUUCCAGGUACACCAAAAUGUCGCCCGAAGAAGUUCUUGGGAAGUUCGUAAGCGGGCGAAUGAUGAUUAAGGAGGCAAGAUACGUGGACGACGCGUUGAACGGUCCUAUUCAUGAGGCUCAACCCAUUGCUCUCAAGGCCACAAGGAGCAAGGAGGCGCUACCAAGCAAGGUGGCGCAAGUUGAGGCGGCCGGGCUAAAUAAUGAGGAGAUGGCCCUCAUCAUUAAGCGCUUCAAGACAGCUUAAAGGUCGCAAGGGACAGCCAAGCAAGACCAAGACAAAGGAGAAGCGCUCAUGCUUCAAAUGUGGUAAGAUUGGUCAUUUCAUUGCUAACUGUCCCGAUAAUGAAAGUGACCAGGAAAAAGGGGACAAGAGGGAAAAGAAGAAGCAUUACAAGAAGGCCAAGGGCGAGGCACAUAUCGGAAAGGAGUGGGAUUCGGAUUGCUCCUCCUCCGACUCCGACAAUGAAGGACUCGCCGCCACUGCCUUCAAUAAGUCAUCCCUCUUCCCCAACGAGCGUCACACAUGCCUUAUGGCAAGGGAGAAAAAGGUAUGUAAUCAAAACAAUGUCACUUAUGAUUCUUCCAGUGAUGAUGAGUCUAGUGAUGAUGAAAUAGAUUACUCUAGUUUGUUCAAGGGAUUAGAUAGAAAUAAGAUUGAUAAAAUCAAUGAAUUGAUUGAUGCAUUGAAUGAGAAGGAUAAACUCUUAGAGAAACAAGAGGAUUUAUUGUAUGAAGAGCAUGAUAAAUUUGUAGAAGCUCAAAGAUCUCAUGCUCUAGAAGUUAAAAGAAAUGAAAUGCUUUCUUUUGAACUAUCCACUUGUCAUGAAACCAUUUCUACUUUAAAAGGUGUUAACAAUGAUUUAAAUGCUAAACUAGUAGAAGCAAAUAAAUCCAACUCUUGUGUUCAACAUGUUGAAAUUUGCACUAGGUGUAAAGAUGUAGAUAUUAAUGCUUGUAGUGAACACUUAGUUUCUAUUUCAAAAUUGAAUGAUGAAUUAGCUAGUCUUAAUGCCCAACUUGAGACUAACAAAAGUGAUUUUGAGAAACUAAAAUUUGCUAGGGAUGCCUACACGGUUGGUAGACACCCCUCAAUUAAGGAUGGACUUGGCUUCAAAAGAGAAGCCAAGAACUUAACAAGCCAUAAGGCUCCCAUUCCCGCCAAGGAGAAAGGGAAGGCCCCUAUGGCUAGUAGUGUGCAAAAGAAUCAUGCGUUUAUGUACCAUGAUAAGAGACAAACUAGAAAUGCUUAUAGGAGUUACAAUGCUUAUGAUGAUUUUGAUUCUCAUGACAUGUUUGCUUCUAGUUCUUUCUAUGUGCAUGAUAAAAAUGUUGGUAGGAGAAAUGUUGUUCACAAUAUGCCUAGGAGAAAUGUUCCUAGAAGAGUUAAUGAACCUUCUACAAUAUAUCAUGCUUUAAAUGCUUCCUUUGCUAUUUGUAGAAAGGACAAGAAAAUAGUUGCUAGGAAGUUAGGGGCAAAAUGCAAGGGAGACAAAACUUGCAUUUGGGUCCCUAAGGAUAUUUGUGCUAACCUUGUAGGACCCAACAUGAGUUGGGUACCUAAGUCCCAAGCCUAAAUUUGCCUUGCAGGUUUAUGCAUCCGGGGGAUCAAGCUGGAUUAUUGAUAGCGGAUGCACAAACCAUAUGACGGGGGAGAAGAAGAUGUUCUCCUCCUACGUCAAGAAUAAGGAUUCCCAAGAUUCAAUUGUAUUCGGUGAUGGGAAUCAAGGCAAGGUAAAAGGGUUAGGUAAAAUUGCAAUUUCUAAUGAGCACUCUAUCUCUAAUGUGUUUUUAGUAGAGUCUCUUGGAUAUAAUUUGCUAUCUGUUAGUCAAUUAUGCAACAUGGGGUAUAACUGUCUAUUUACAAAUGUAGAUGUGUCUGUCUUUAGAAGAAGUGAUGGUUCACUAGCUUUUAAGGGUGUAUUAGACGGCAAACUUUAUUUAGUUGAUUUUGCAAAAGAAGAAGCCGGUCUAGAUGCAUGCUUAAUAGCUAAGACUAGCAUGGGCUGGCUGUGGCAUCGCCGCUUAGCACAUGUGGGGAUGAAGAACCUUCACAAGCUUCUAAAGGGAGAACACGUGAUAGGUUUGACUAACGUGCAAUUCGAAAAGGAUAGACCUUGUGCAGCUUGUCAAGCAGGUAAGCAAGUGGGAGGAGCACAUCACAGCAAGAAUGUGAUGACCACUUCAAGACCUCUGGAGCUGCUACAUAUGGACCUCUUCGGACCCGUCGCCUAUCUGAGCAUAGGAGGAAGUAAGUAUGGUCUAGUUAUUGUUGAUGACCUUUCCCGCUUCACUUGGGUGUUCUUUUUGCAGGAUAAGUCUGAAACCCAAGGGACCCUCAAGCGCUUCCUCAGGAGAGCUCAAAAUGAGUUUGAGCUCAAGGUGAAGAAGAUAAGGAGCGACAACGGGUCCGAGAUCAAGAAUCUUCAAGUGGAGGAGUUCCUUGAAGAGGAAGGGAUCAAGCACGAGUUCUCCGCUCCCUACACACCACAGCAAAAUGGUGUAGUAGAGAGGAAGAACAGGACGCUCAUUGAUAUGGCGAGGACGAUGCUAGGAGAGUUCAAGACCCCCGAGUGCUUUUGGACGGAAGCUGUGAACACGGCUUGCCACGCCAUCAACAGGGUCUACCUUCAUCGCCUCCUCAAGAAGACGUCGUAUGAGCUACUAACCGGUAACAAACCCAAUGUAUCCUACUUUCGUGUAUUUGGGAGCAAAUGCUACAUUCUAGUGAAGAAAGGUAGAAAUUCUAAGUUUGCUCCCAAAGCUGUAGAAGGGUUUUUAUUAGGUUAUGACUCAAAUACAAAGGCGUAUAGAGUCUUCAACAAAUCAUCGGGUUUGGUUGAAGUCUCUAGCGACGUUGUAUUUGAUGAGACUAAUGGCUCUCCAAGAGAGCAAGUUCUUGAUUGUGAUGAUGUAGAUGAAGAAGAUGUUCCGACGGCCGCUAUACGAACCAUGGCGAUUGGAGAAGUACGGCCACAGGAACAAGAUGAACGAGAUCAACCUUCUUCCUCAACAAUGGUGCAUCCCCCAACUCAAGAAGAUGAACAGGUUCAUCAACAGGAGGCGUGUGAUCAAGGGGGAGCACAAGAUGAUCAUGUGAUAGAGGAAGAAGCGCAACCAGCACCUCCAACCCAAGUUCGAGCGAUGAUUCAAAGGGAUCAUCUCGUCGAUCAAAUUCUUGGUGACAUUAGCAAGGGAGUAACUACUCGGUCUCGAUUAGUUAAUUUUUGUGAACAUUACUCCUUUGUCUCUUCUAUUGAGCCUUUCAGGGUAGAAGAGGCCUUGCUAGAUCCGGACUGGGUGUUGGCCAUGCAAGAGGAGCUCAACAACUUCAAAAGGAAUGAAGUUUGGACACUGGUGCCUCGUCCCAAGCAAAAUAUUGUGGGAACCAAGUGGGUGUUCCGCAACAAACAGGACGAGCACGGGGUGGUGACAAGGAACAAGGCUCGACUUGUGGCAAAAGGUUAUGCCCAAGUCGCAGGUUUGGACUUUGAGGAGACUUUUGCUCCUGUGGCUAGACUAGAGUCCAUUCAUAUCUUGCUAGCAUAUGCCGCUCACCAUUCUUUCAGGUUGUACCAAAUGGAUGUGAAGAGCGCUUUCCUCAAUGGGCCAAUAAAGGAGGAGGUGUACGUGGAGCAACCCCCUGGCUUCGAGGAUGAACGGUAUCCCGACCACGUGUGUAAGCUCUCUAAGGCGCUCUAUGGACUUAAGCAAGCCCCAAGAGCAUGGUAUGAAUGCCUUAGAGACUUUCUAAUUGUUAAUGCUUUCAAGGUUGGGAAAGCCGAUCCAACUCUGUUUACAAAGACAUGUGAUGGUGAUUUGUUUGUGUGCCAAAUUUAUGUCGAUGACAUAAUAUUUGGUUCUACUAACCAAAAGUCUUGUGAAGAGUUUAGCAGGGUGAUGACACAGAAAUUCGAGAUGUCGAUGAUGGGCGAGUUGAACUACUUCCUUGGGUUCCAAGUGAAGCAACUCAAGGACGGGACCUUCAUCUCUCAAACGAAGUACACGCAAGACUUGCUGAAGCGGUUUGGGAUGAAGGAUGCCAAGCCCGCAAAGACUCCGAUGGGGACCGACGGACACACUGACCUCAACAAAGGAGGUAAGUCCGUUGAUCAAAAGGCAUACCGGUCAAUGAUAGGGUCAUUACUUUACUUAUGUGCUAGUAGACCGGAUAUUAUGCUUAGUGUAUGCAUGUGUGCAAGAUUUCAAUCCGAUCCUAAGGAGUGUCACUUAGUGGCGGUGAAGCGAAUUCUUAGAUAUUUAGUUGCUACGCCUUGCUUCGGGCUCUGGUAUCCAAAGGGGUCUACCUUUGACUUGAUUGGAUAUUCAGACUCCGACUAUGCUGGAUGUAAGGUCGAUAGGAAGAGUACAUCGGGGACGUGCCAAUUCUUAGGAAGGUCCCUGGUGUCGUGGAAAUCUAAGAAACAAACCUCCGUUGCCCUAUCCACCGCUGAGGCCGAGUACGUUGCCGCAGGACAGUGUUGCGCGCAACUACUUUGGAUGAGGCAAACCCUCCGGGACCUUGGCUACAAUCUGAGCAAAGUCCCACUCCUAUGUGAUAAUGAGAGUGUUAUCCGCAUGGCGGAAAAUCCUGUUGAGCACAGCCGCACAAAGCACAUAGACAUCCGGCAUCACUUUUUGAGAGACCACCAGCAAAAGGGGGAUAUCGAAGUGUUUCAUGUUAGCACCGAGAACCAGCUAGCCGAUAUCUUUACCAAGCCUCUAGAUGAGAAGACCUUUUGCAGGCUGCGUAGUGAGCUAAAUGUCUUAGAUUCGCGGAACUUGGAUUGAAUUGUAGCAUACAUGUGUUUAUGCCUUUGAUCAUGUUCAUUCUGCAUUUUGUUGCUUAUUGUGGUGCUCAAGUUGUACAAACACUCUCUGGACCUCACAAGUCCGUUGCAAAGUGAUGCACAUAUUAAGGGGGAGAUGUGUUACAACUUGACCCUUUGAGACUAACCAUAUGCUUGAGUUUGCUUGAUUUAGUCUCGAAGGAGAAUUGAAAGGGAAAAGGUGGACUUGGACCAUGAAAGACUUCCACUGCACUCCGAUGAGAGGGUAACUUAUUCCAAGUUCAUCUCAUGAACUCGUAUUGCCAUUUGCUCUUAAUUGAAGAUUUUGGUGAGGCAAUGGGGUUAUUGGGCCAAAAUUGAUCCCGUUUUGGUGCUUGAUGCCAAAGGGGGAGAAAAUAAAGGCCAAAGUGAAAAAUGGAUCAGCUACCACUUGAGAGAUUUGAAAAUAGUAGAGUAGAGUUUUUGAUUUGUCAAAACUCUUUGUUUUUGAUUUGUCACCACUUGAGAGAUUUGAAAAUAGUAGAGUAGAGUUUUUGAUUUGUCAAAACUCUUUGUUUUUGAUUUGUCAAAACUCUUUCAUUAUCUCUUUUGUCAAAAGUUGGCUUCUUGUGGGGAGAAGUAGUGAUUAUGGGAAAAAGGGGGAGUUUUUGAAAUCCUUGAUAAAUCUCUUUUGGAAUGACUCUCUUUAUGUUUCAACAUGUGUGUUUGACUUAGAGAUAGAGAUUUGAGUUUGAUUUGCAAAAACAAACCAAGUGGUGGCAAAGGAUGAUCCAUAUAUGCCAAAAAUGAAUCAAAAUAGAUUUGAGUUCUAUUUGAAGUGAUUUUGAACUUGUUCUAGUUGCUUUAUGUUGUGUUGGCAUAAAUCACCAAAAAGGGGGAGAUUGAAAGGGAAAUGUGCCUUUGGGCCAUUUCUAAGUAUUUUGGUGAUUGAGUGCCAACACAAGUGCUUAAAUGUGAAUCUAUGCCCAUGGAUGAACAAAGUGCAAAACACAAGUAAAGGUAUGUUUCUAAGCCUUAGUACAUUGGUUUUGUGUACUAAUGUAUUUGUCUAAGUGUUAGAAACAGAGAGAAGAAGAAAAGGAGAAUGUUGGCUGUGUACAGCCAACAGGCUGUUUCGGUCUGGGGCACCGGACUGUCCGGUGGUGCACCGGACAGUGUCCGGUGCACCAGGCUGCCUCGACCUGAAGACACCGCUCUCGGGAAUUUGCCGACGACGUACGGCUAAAAUUCACCAGACUGUCCGGUGUGCACCGGACUGUCCGGUGAGCCAACGGUCGGCCGCGGAAUCUGCGUGCAACACGUGGUCUGGCCAACGGUCGGAAGGAGGCACCGGACUGUCCGGUGUGCACCGGACUGUCCGGUGCGCCAGAUCUGCAACGGUCGGCAACGGUCGGCUGCGCUGUUUAAGGAAAUAAAUCGGGCACCGGACAGUGUCCGGUGUGCACCGGACUGUCCGGUGCACCCGACGACAGAAGGCAAGGAUGGCCUUCCAGAUUUGCUCUCAACGGCUCCUAGCUGCCUUAGGGCUAUAAAAGGGACCCCUAGGCGCAUGGAGAAGAUACUCAAGCAACCUUAGAGCAUUCUUGAUCAUCCACACUCAGUCUUUGCGCAUUCGUUUGUCAUUCUCAGUGAUUCGAGCUCCGUUCUAGUGAGAACUUUGAGAUAGUCUUUCGAGCUCGAUUCUUGGCCGUGUGUGUGCGCAUUUUGCUGUGGAUUUGUGUGUGUUGCUUCUCUCCCUUACUUCGUGCUUCUUUGUGAACUUCAAGUGUAAGGGUGAGAGACUCCAAGUUGUGGAGAUUCCUCGCGAACGAGAUAAGAAAGGAAAAGCAUAACACUGUGGUAUUCAAGUUGAUCAUUGGAUCACUUGAGAGGAGUUGAGUGCAACUCUCGUCCGUUGGGACGCCACAACGUGGAGUAGGCAAGUUUUGUACUUGGCCGAACCACGGGAUAAAUCACUGUGUCUUCUCUGUGUUGAACUUCUUGUGAUUAUCAUAUUGUGCAAGAUCUUCGCUCUAGCCACUUGGCAUUAACUGUGCUAACGCUUAACAAGUUUUUGUGGCUAUAAGUUGAAUUUUACAAGAUCACCUAUUCACCCCCCCUCUAGGUGCUCUCAGAACCGUUGUUCGCCCCAAGGCUUUUAGCCAGCUCGUCUGCAGUCUCGUUGUAGCGCUGAAAGGGAAAUGUGCCCUUGGGCCAUUUCUAAAUAUUUUGGUGAUUGAGUGCCAACACAAGUGCUUAAAUGUGAAUCUAUACCCAUGGAUGGACAAAGUGCAAAUCAAGAGUAAAGGUAUGUUUCUAAGCCUUAGUACAUUGUUUUGAAGACUAAUGUAUUGUGUCUAAGUGCUUGAAACAGGAGAAAUCAAGUCAGAGAAAAGUUGGCUAUGUACAGCCAAAAGGUUGUUCGGUCUGGAGCACCGGACUGUCCGGUGGUGCACCGGACAGUGUCCGGUGCGCCAGACUGACUCGGGCGAACUGGCCGCUCUCGGGAAUUUACCGGCGACGUACGGCUAUAAUUCACCGGACUGUCCGGUGUGCACCGGACUGUCCGGUGAGCCAACGGUCGGCCGCGCGAUCUGCGGGGGACACGUGGCCGAGCCAACGGACUAGAAGGGGGCACCGGACUGUCCGGUGUGCACCGGACAUGUCCGGUGUGCACCGGACAUGUCCGGUGCGCCAACGGCUCUCUGACGGCCAACGGUCGGCUGCGCCGUUUAAGGAAAGAAAUCAGGCACCGGACUGUCCGGUGCACCAGUCGACAGAAGGCAAGAUCAGCCUUCCAGAUUUGCUCUCAACGGCUCCUAGCUGCCUUGGGGCUAUAAAAGGGACCCCUAGGCACAUGGAGGAGAACAACAAGCAUUCCUACAACAUUCCUAAGCACCAAGACAUCGAUUUCGCGCAUUUGGUUCAUUGUGAUAGCAUCUAGAGCUCUUGUUGAGUUGUGAACUCAUUGAGUUGUGUUGCGAGCUCUUGUUGCGACUUGUGUGCGUGCUGUUGCUCUGAUUUUGAGUCUUGUGUGUGUUGCUAGUUCCUCCCUUACUCCGUAUUUCUUUGUGAAUCUCAAGUGUAAGGGCGAGAGGCUCCAAGUUGUGGAGAUUCCUCGCAAACGGGAUAUUGAAAGGCAAAGCAAAACACCGUGGUAUUCAAGUUGGUCUUUGGACCGCUUGAGAGGGGUUGAUUGCAACCCUCGUCCGUUGGGACGCCACAACGUGGAGUAGGCAAGCGUUGGUCUUGGCCGAACCACGGGAUAAACCACUGUGUCAUCUCUGUGUUUGAUCUCUUGUGGUAUUAUGUUUUGUUGAGACUCCUCUCUAGCCACUUGGCGAUUAUUGUGCUAACACUUAACAAGUUUUUGUGGCUAUAAGUUUAAGUUUCACAGGAUCACCUAUUCACCCCCCCUCUAGGUGCUCUCAAUUGGUAUCGGAGCCGUUCUCUUCACAAAGGGACUAACCGCCCGAAGAGAUGGAUCCUAAAGGGAAGGGAAUCGUGAUCAACGACAAGGAGAAGGAGUCCUUCGUCAACGAGCCAAGGGAUGACAAGUCCAACGACUCGGGCUCGGGCCACAAACGCAAAGAUGGGAAGAAGAAGAAGACAAGACGCAUCAAGGAGAUCGUCUACUACGACAGCGAUGAGUCUACUUCCUCCCAAAAGGACGACGACUACAACGAAUACGAGAGAAAGAAACCGGUCAAUUCGAACUUUUCUUUUGAUUACUCUCGUAUUCCUCAAAGUACUAAUGCUCAUUUAUUAUCUAUUCCACUUGGUAAACCUCCUCAUUUUGAUGGAGAGGACUACGGAUUUUGGAGUCACAAAAUGCGUAGUCACUUGUUCUCUCUCCAUCCUAGCAUAUGGGAGAUUGUAGAAAGUGGAAUGCACUUUGAUAGUACGGAUAGUCCCAUGUUUAUUAAUGAACAAAUUCAUAAAAAUGCACAAGCUACUACUGUGUUGCUAGCCUCUUUGUGCAGGGACGAGUACCAUAAGGUGAGCGGCUUGGACAAUGCCAAGCAGAUCUGGGACACCCUCAAGAUCUCUCAUGAGGGGAAUGAUGUCACCUUGCUCACCAAGAUGGAGUUGGUGGAGGGCGAGCUUGGACGAUUCGCAAUGAUAAGGGGCGAGGAGCCAACUCAAACAUACAACCGGCUCAAGACCCUUAUCAACAAAAUAAGGAGCUACGGAAGCACGCGAUGGACGGAUCACGACGUCGUCCGCCUAAUGCUAAGGUCAUUUACCGUUCUUGAUCCUCACUUGGUGAACAAUAUUCGUGAAAAUCCUAGGUACAUCAAGAUGUCGCCCGAAGAAAUUCUUGGAAAAUUUGUAAGCGGACGAAUGAUGAUCAAGGAAGCGAGGUACGUGGACGACGCGUUGAAUGGCCCUAUUCAUGAGCCUCAACCCAUUGCUCUCAAGGCAACGAGGAGCAAGGAGGCGCUACCGAGCAAGGUGGCACAAGUUGAGGCGGCCGGGCUAAAUAAUGAGGAGAUGGCCCUCAUCAUUAAGCGCUUCAAGACGGCGCUUAAAGGUCGCAAGGGACAGCCAAGCAAGACCAAGACAAAGGAGAAGCGCUCGUGCUUCAAAUGUGGUAAGAUUGGUCAUUUCAUUGCUAACUGUCCCGAUAAUGAAAGUGACCAGGAAAAGGGGAACAAAAGGGAGAAGAAGAAGCAUUACAAGAAGGCCAAGGGCGAGGCACAUAUCGGAAAGGAGUGGGAUUCGGAUUGCUCCUCCUUCGACUCCGACAAUGAAGGACUCGCCGCCCUCGCCUUCAACAAGUCAUCCCUCUUCCCCAACGAGCGUCACACUUGCCUCAUGGCAAGGGAGAAGAAAGUAAGCACUCAUGAUACUAGUACUUAUGCUUCUUCAAGUGAGGAUGAGUCUAGUGAUGAUGAUGAGAUAGAUUACUCAUGCUUAUUCAAGGGAUUAGAUAGAUCUAAAAUUAAUAAGAUUAAUGAGUUGAUUGAUGCUUUGAAUGACAAGAAUAGAUUACUAGAAAAACAAGAGGAUCUUUUAUAUGAGGAGCAUGAUAAAUUUGUUAGUGCACAAAAUUCUCUUGCUCUAGAAAUUAAAAGGAAUGAAAUGCUCUCUAGUGAAUUAUCUACUUGUCAUGAAUCCAUCUCUAAAUUAAAAGGUGUUAAUGAUGAUUUGAAUGCUAAGUUAGAAAUAGCUAGUAAAUCAACAUCUUGUGUAGAAAUUGUUGAAACUUGCAAUAGGUGUAAAGAUUUUGACAUUGAUGCUUGUAGUGAACACCUAGUUUCAAUUUCCAAACUUAAUGAUGAAUUGGCUAGUCUUAAUGCUCAACUUAAGACUAGCAAGGGUAAUUUUGAUAAGCUAAAAUUUGCAAGGGAUGCCUACACAAUUGGUAGACACCCCUCAAUUAAGGAUGGACUUGGCUACAAGAAGGAAGCCAAGAACUUGACAAGCCAUAAGGCUCCCAUCUCCGCCAAGGAGAAAGGGAAGGCCCCUAUGGCUAGUAGUGUGCAAAAGAACCAUGCCUUUAUGUACCAUGACAGGAGACAAUCUAGAAAUGCUUAUAGGAGACGUAACGCAUAUGAUGCUUUUGAUUCUCAUGACAUGUUUGCUUCUAGUUCUUCUUAUGUGCAUGAUAGAAAUGUUGGUAGGAGAAAUGUUGUUCAUAAUAUGCCUAGGAGAAAUGUUGUUAAUGUUCCUAGGAAAGUAAUGAAUGAACCCUCUACAAUUUAUCAUGCUUUAAAUGCUUCCUUUGCUAUUUGUAGAAAGGAUAGGAAAAUAGUUGCUAGGAAGUUAGGGGCAAAAUGCAAGGGAGACAAAACUUGCAUUUGGGUCCCUAAGGAUAUUUGCACUAACCUUGUAGGACCCAACAUCAGUUGGGUACCUAAGACCCAAGCCUAAAUCUGCCUUGCAGGUUUAUGCAUCCGGGGGUUUAAGCUGGAUUAUCGACAGCGGAUGCACAAACCAUAUGACGGGGGAAAAGAAGAUGUUCACCUCCUACGUCAAGAAUAAGGAUUCCCAAGAUUCAAUUAUAUUCGGUGCUGGGAAUCAAGGCAAGGUAAAAGGGUUAGGUAAAAUUGCAAUUUCUAAUGAGCACUCUAUCUCCAAUGUGUUUUUAGUUGAGUCUCUUGGUUACAAUUUGCUAUCUGUUAGUCAACUAUGCAAUAUGGGAUAUAAUUGUCUUUUUACAAAUGUAGAUGUGUCUGUCUUUAGAAGAAGUGAUGGUUCACUAGUCUUUAAGGGUGUAUUAGACGGCAAGCUUUACUUAGUUGAUUUUGCAAAAGAAGAGGCCGGUCUAGAUGCAUGCUUAAUUGCUAAGACUAGCAUGGGCUGGCUGUGGCAUCGCCACUUAGCACAUGUGGGGAUGAAAAAUCUUCACAAGCUUCUAAAGGGAGAACACGUGAUAGGUUUGACUAACGUACAAUUCGAAAAAGAUAGACCUUGUGCAGCUUGUCAGGCAGGUAAAUAGGUGGGAGGAGCGCAUCGCAGCAAGAAUGUGAUGACCACAUCAAGACCCCUGGAGCUGCUACAUAUGGACCUCUUCGGACCCGUCGCCUAUCUAAGCAUAGGAGGAAGUAAGUAUGGUUUAGUUAUUGUUGAUGAUUUUUCCCGCUUCACUUGGGUGUUCCUUUUGCAGGAUAAGUCUGAAACCCAAGGGACCCUCAAGCGCUUCCUCAGGAGAGCUCAAAAUGAGUUUGGGCUCAAGGUGAAGAAGAUAAGGAGCGACAACGGGUCCGAGUUCAAGAACCUUCAAGUGGAGGAGUUCCUUGAGGAGGAAGGGAUCAAGCACGAGUUCUCCGCUCCCUACACACCACAGCAAAAUGGUGUGGUAGAGAGGAAGAACAGGACGCUAAUCGAUAUGGCGAGGACGAUGCUUGGAGAAUUCAAGACCCCCGAGCGUUUUUGGUCGGAAGCCGUGAACACGGCUUGCCACGCCAUCAACAGGGUCUACCUUCAUCGCCUCCUCAAGAAGACUUCGUAUGAGCUACUAACCGGUAACAAACCCAAUGUAUCUUACUUUCGUGUAUUUGGGAGCAGGUGCUACAUUCUAGUGAAGAAGGGUAGAAAUUCUAAAUUUGCUCCCAAAGCUGUAGAAGGGUUUUUGUUAGGUUAUGACUCAAAUACAAAGGCGUAUAGAGUCUUCAACAAAUCAUCGGGUUUGGUUGAAGUCUCUAGCGACGUUGUAUUUGAUGAGACUAAUGGCUCUCCAAGAGAGCAAGUUGUUGAUUGUGAUGAUGUAGAUGAAGAAGAUGUUCCGAUGGCCGCUAUACGAACCAUGGCGAUUGGAGAAGUGCGGCCACAGGAACAAGAUGAACGAGAUCAACCUUCUUCCUCAACAACGGUGCAUCCCCCAACUCAAGACGAUGAACAGGUUCAUCAAAAGGAGGCGUGUGAUCAAGGGGGAGCACAAGAUGAUCACGUGAUGGAGGAAGAAGCGCAACCGGCACCUCCAACCCAAGUUCGAGCGGUGAUUCAAAGGGAUCAUCCCGUCGACCAAAUUUUGGGUGACAUUAGCAAGGGAGUAACUACUCGAUCUCGAUUAGUUAAUUUUUGUGAGCAUUACUCCUUUGUCUCUUCUAUUGAGCCUUUCAGGGUAGAGGAGGCCUUGCUAGAUCCGGAUUGGAUAUUGGCCAUGCAGGAGGAACUCGACAACUUCAAGCGCAAUGAAGUUUGGACACUGGUGCCUCAUCCCAAGCAAAAUGUUGUGGGAACCAAGUGGGUGUUCCGCAACAAACAGGACGAGCAUGGGGUGGUGACGAGGAACAAGGCUCGACUUGUGGCAAAAGGUUAUGCCCAAGUCGCAGGAUUGGACUUUGAGGAGACGUUUGCUCCUGUGGCUAGGAUAGAAUCAAUUCGUAUCUUGCUAGCAUAUGCCGCUCACCAUUCUUUCAGGUUGUACCAAAUGGAUGUGAAGAGUGCUUUCCUCAAUGGGCCAAUCAAGGAGGAGGUGUACGUGGAGCAACCCCCUGGCUUCGAGGAUGAACGGUACCCCGACCACGUGUGUAAGCUCUCUAAGGCGCUCUAUGGACUUAAGCAAGCACCAAGAGCAUGGUAUGAAUGCCUUAGAGACUUCUUAAUUGCUAAUGCUUUCAAGGUUGGGAAAGCCGAUCCAACUCUUUUUACUAAGACUUGCGGCAGUGAUCUUUUUGUGUGCCAAAUUUAUGUCGAUGACAUAAUAUUUGGUUCUACUAACCAAAAGUCUUGUGAAGAGUUUAGCAGGGUUAUGAUGCAGAAAUUCGAGAUGUCGAUGAUGGGCGAGUUGAACUACUUCCUUGGGUUUCAAGUGAAGCAACUCAAGGACGGCACCUUCAUCUCCCAAACAAAGUACACGCAAGACUUGCUGAAGCGGUUUGGGAUGAAGGACGCCAAGCCCGCAAAGACUCCGAUGGGGACCGACGGACACACCGACCUCAACAAAGGAGGUAAGUCCGUUGAUCAAAAAGCAUACCGGUCAAUGAUAGGGUCUUUACUUUAUUUAUGUGCUAGUAGACCGUAUAUUAUGCUUAGCGUAUGCAUGUGUGCUAGAUUUCAAUCCGAUCCUAAGGAGUGUCACUUAGUGGCGGUGAAGCGAAUUCUUAGAUAUUUGGUUGCUACGCCUUGCUUCGGGCUCUGGUAUCCAAAGGGGUCUACCUUUGACUUGGUUGGAUACUCAGAUUCCGACUAUGCUGGAUGUAAGGUCGAUAGGAAGAGUACAUCAGGGACGUGCCAAUUCUUAGGAAGGUCCCUGGUGUCGUGGAACUCUAAGAAACAAACCUCAGUUGCCCUAUCCACCGCUGAGGCCGAGUAUGUUGCCGCAGGGCAGUGUUGCGCGCAACUACUUUGGAUGAGGCAAACCCUUCGGGACUUUGGCUACAAUCUGAGCAAAGUCCCACUCCUAUGUGACAAUGAGAGUGCUAUCCGCAUGGCGGAAAAUCCUGUUGAACACAGCCGCACAAAGCACAUUGACAUCCGGCAUCACUUUUUGAGAGACCACCAGCAAAAGGGAGAUAUCGAAGUGUUUCAUGUUAGCACCGAGAACCAGCUAGCCGAUAUCUUUACCAAGCCUCUAGAUGAGAAGACCUUUUGCUGGCUACGUAGUGAGCUAAAUGUCUUAGAUUCGUGGAACUUGGAUUGAAUUGUAGCAUACAUGUAUUUAUGCUUUUGAUCAUGUUCCUUUUUUGCAUUUUGUUGUUUAGUAUGGUGCUCAAGUUGUACAAACACUCCCUGGACCUCACAAGUCUGUUGCAAAGUGAUGCACAGUUUUAGGGGGAGAUGUGUUACAACUUGACCCUUUGAGACUAACCAUAUGCUUGAGUUUGCUUGUUUUAGUCUCGAAGGAGAAUUAAAAGGGAAAAGGUGGACUUGGAUCAUGCAAGACUUCCACUGCACUCCGAUGAAAAGAGUAACUUUUCCAAGUUCAUCUUUUAACUCUUAUUGCCUAUUUGCUCUUAAUUGAAGAUUUUGGUGAGGCAAUGGGGUUAAAGGGCCAAGAUUGAUCCCGUUUUGGUGCUUGAUGCCAAAGGGGGAGAAAAUAAAGGCCAAAGUAAUAAAUGGAUCAGCUACCACUUGAGAGAUUUUGAAAAUAGUAGAAUAGAGUUUUUUGUUUUGUCAAAACUCUUUUAUUGUCUCUCUUGUCAAAAGUUGGCUUCUUGUGGGGAGAAAUGUUGAUUAUGGGAAAAAGGGGGAGUUUUUGGAAUCCUAAAUCAAAUACUCCUGAAAUGACUCUCUUUAUGACUUAACAUGUGUGUUUGACUUAGAGAUAGAAAUUUGAGUUUUGAUUUGCAAAAACAAACCAAGUGGUGGCAAAGGAUGAUCCAUAUAUGCCAAAAUUGAAUCAAAAUAAAUUUAAGUUUUAUUUGAAGUGAUAUUGCACUUGUUCUAGUUGCUUUAUGUUGUGUUGGCAUAAAUCACCAAAAAGGGGGAGAUUGAAAGGGAAAUGUGCCCUUGGGCCAUUUCUAAGUAUUUUGGUGAUUGAGUGCCAACACAAGUGCUUAAAUGUGAAUCUAUACCCAUGGAUGGACAAAGUGCAAAUCAAGAGUAAAGGUAUGUUUCUAAGCCUUAGUACAUUGUUUUGAAGACUAAUGUAUUGUGUCUAAGUGCUUGAAACAGGAGAAAUCGAGUCAGAGAAAAGUUGGCUGUGUACAGCCAAAAGGGUGUUCGGUCUGGAGCACCGGACUGUCCGGUGGUGCACCGGACAGUGUUCGGUGCGCAAAACUGACUCGGGCGAACUGGCCACUCUCGGGAAUUUACCGACGACGUACGACUAUAAUUCACCGGACUGUCCGGUGUGCACCGAACUGUCCGGUGAGCCAACGGUCGGCCGGGCCAACGGUCGGCCACGCGAUCUGUGGGGGACACGUGGCCGAGCCAACAGACUAGAAGGGGGCACCGGACUGUCCGGUGUGCACCGGACAUGUCCGGUGUGCACCGGACAUGUCUGGUGCGCCAACGGCUCUCUGACGGCCAACGGUCGGCUGCGCCGUUUAAGGAAAGAAAUCAGGCACCGGACAGUGUCCGGUGUGCACCGGACUGUCCGGUGCACCAGUCGACAGAAGGCAAGAUCAGACUUCCAGAUUUGCUCUCAACGGCUCCUAGCUGCCUUGGGGCUAUAAAAGGGACCCCUAGGCGCAUGGAGGAGAACAACAAGCAUUCCUACAACAUUCCUAAGCACCAAGACAUCGAUUUCGCGCAUUUGGUUCAUUGUGAUAGCAUCUAGAGCUCUUGUUGAGUUGUGAACUCAUUGAGUUGUGUUGCGAGCUCUUGUUGCGACUUGUGUGCGUGCUGUUGCUCUGAUUUUGAGUCUUGUGUGCGUUGCUAGUUCCUCCCUUACUCCGUAUUUCUUUGUGAAUCUCAAGUGUAAGGGCGAGAGGCUCCAAGUUGUGGAGAUUCCUCGCAAACGGGAUAUUGAAAGGCAAAGCAAAACACCGUGGUAUUCAAGUUGGUCUUUGGACCGCUUGAGAGGGGUUGAUUGCAACCCUCGUCCGUUGGGACGCCACAACGUGGAGUAGGCAAGCGUUGGUCUUGGCCGAACCACGGGAUAAACCACUGUGUCAUCUCUGUGUUUGAUCUCUUGUGGUAUUAUGUUUUGUUGAGACUCCUCUCUAGCCACUUGGCGAUUAUUGUGCUAACACUUAACAAGUUUUUGUGGCUAUAAGUUUAAGUUUCACAGGAUCACCUAUUCACCCCCCCUCUAGGUGCUCUCAAGCGCCGAGCGAUGUGGUUGAGCUCGAGCCCGUAGAACUUGUCUUCCAAGCGCCGAACCUCAUCGCAGUAGACCUCCAUCUUCGGGUCGCGGCAGUGGGAGUUCUUCAUGACUUGGUCGAUGACGAGCUGCGAGUCACCGCGGGCGUCGAGGCGCCGGACCCCUAGCUCGAUGGCGAUCCGCAACCCGUUGACCAGAGCCUCAUACUCAACCACAUUGUUGGACGCCGGGAAAUGGAGGCAUAGAACAUAGCGUAUGUGUUUCCCGAGGGGCGAGAUGAAGAGUAGGCCUGCGCUGGCUCCCGUCUUUAUCAACGACCCGUCGAAAAACAUGGUCCAGAGCUCCGGUUGGAUCGGAGCCGUCGGUAGCUGGGUGUCGACCCAUUCGGCCACGAAGUCCGCCAAGACCUGGGACUUGAUGCCCCUCCGAGGGGCGAACGAGAUUGUCUCGCCCAUGAUUUCCACCGCCCACUUUGCAAUCCUACCCGAGGCCUCUCGGCACUGGAUGAUCUCUCCCAGGGGGAAGGAUGACACCACAGUUACCGGAUGAGACUCGAAGUAGUGUCGCAACUUCCGCCGUGUCAGGAUCACUGCAUACAGCAGCUUCUGAACUUGUGGGUAGCGGAUCUUGGUUUCGGACAGUACCUCGCUGACGAAGUAAACUGGCCUCUGAACGGGCAAUGCAUGCCCCUCUUCUUGCCUCUCGACCACAAUCGCGGCGCUAACCACCUGAGUGGUCGCGGCGACGUAGACCAAGAGGGCUUCUCCGGCAGCUGGAGGCACCAAGAUAGGCGCCUUUGUGAGGAGCGCCUUCAGGUUCCCGAGAGCUUCCUCGGUCUCAGGGGUCCAAGUGAAGCACUCGGCCUUCCUUAAGAGGCGGUACAGAGGUAGACCUCUUUUGCCGAGGCGUGAGAUGAAGCGGCUCAGAGCCGCGAGACAUCCCAUGACCCUCUGUACGCCUUUCAAGUCCUUGAUGGGCCCCAUGCUGGUGAUGGCUGCAAUCUUCUCCGGGUUGGCUUCGAUGCCCCGCUCGAAGACGAUGAACCCCAAGAGCAUGCCUCGGGGCACCCCGAAGACACACUUCUCGGGAUUGAGCUUGACGUCUUUCGCCUUGAGACAUCGGAAUGUCACUUCAAGGUCAGAAAGGAGGUCGGAAGCUUUCCUCGUCUUGACUACGAUGUCAUCGACGUAGGCCUCGACCGUGCGGCCAAUGUGUUCGCCGAACACAUGGUUCAUGCACCGCUGGUACGUCGCGCCCGCAUUCCUCAAGCCGAACGGCAUGGUGACAUAGCAGUACAUGCCGAAGGGUGUGAUGAAAGAAGUCGCGAGCUGGUCGGACUCUUUCAUCCUGAUUUGAUGAUACCCUGAGUAGGCAUCGAGGAAAGACAGGGUUUCGCACCCAGCAGUGGAAUCCACGAUUUGAUCAAUGCGAGGCAGAGGGUAGGGAACCUUCGGACAUGCUUUGUUGAGACCAGUGUAGUCUACACACAUCUGCCAUUUCCCCCUUUCUUUCUCACAAGCACAGGGUUGGCAAGCCAUUCGGGAUGGAAUACCUCUUUGAUGAACCCUGCUGCCAUUAGCUUGUGGAUCUCCUCGCCUAUGGCUCUGCACUUCUCCUCGUCGAAUCGGCGCAGAGGCUGCUUGACGGGUCGGGCUCCGACUCGAAUGUCCAGCGAGUGCUCGGCGACAUCCCUCGGUAUGCCGGGCAUGUCCGAGGGACUCCACGCGAAGACGUCGGCGUUCGCGCGGAGAAAGUCGACGAGCAUUGCUUCCUAUUUGGGAUCGAGCCCGGAGCCGAUCCAGAUCUGCUUGGAGGCGUCGCCGCUGGGGUCGAGGGGGACGGCCUUAACCGUCUCCACUGGCUCGAAGUUGCCGGCAUGACGCUUCACGUCUGGCACCUCCUUAGAGAGGCUUUCCCGGUCGGCGACGAGGGCCUCGGACUCGGCGAGGGCCUCGGCGUACUCCACGCACUCCACGUCGCAUUCGAACGCGUGUUUGUACGUGGGGUCGACGGUGAUGACCCCGUUGGGGCCCGACAUCUUGAGCUUCAGGUAGGUGUAGUUGGGGACGGCCAUGAACUUCGCGUAGCAUGGUCUUCCCAGUACCGCGUGGUAGGUUCCUCGGAACCCGACCACCUCGAACGUCAGGGUCUCCCUUUGGAAGUUGGAGGGUGUUCCGAAGCAGACGGGAAGGUCAAGUUGUCCGAGGGGCUGGACGCGCUUCCCGGGAAUGAUCCCAUGGAAGGGCGUAGCGCCUGCUCGGACGGAGGACAGAUCGACACGCAGGAGCCCGAGGGUCUCGGCAUAGAUGAUGUUGAGGCCGCUGCCUCCGUCCAUGAGGACCUUGGUGAGCCUGACGUCGCCGAUGACGGGGUCGACGACGAGCGGGUAUUUCCCCGGGCUCGGCACGUGGUCGGGGUGGUCGGCUUGGUCGAAGGUGAUGGGCUUGUUGGACCAGUCUAGGUAGACUGGCGCCGCCACCUUCACUGAGCAGACCUCCCGGCGCUCUUGCUUGCGGUGCCGAGCCGAGGCAUUCGCCGCUUGCCCACCGUAGAUCAUGAAGCAAUCACGGACCUCGGGGAACUCUCCUGCUUGGUGAUCUUCCUUCUUGUCGUCGUCGCGGGCCCUGCCACCCUCCGCGGGUGGCCCGGCCCUGUGGAAGUGGCGCCGAAGCAUGACGCACUCCUCAAGGGUGUGCUUGACGGGCCCCUGGUAAUAGGGGCACGGCUCCUUGAGCAUCUUGUCGAAGAGGUUGGCACCUCCGGGGGGUUUCCGAGGGUUCUUGUACUCGGCGGCGGCGACAAGGUCCGCGUCGGCGGCGCCGCGUUUCGCUUGCGACUUCUUCUUGCCUUUCUUCUUGGCGCCGCGCUGAGUCGACGCCUCGGGAGCAUCUUCCGAUGGGCGGCCCUGGGGCUGCUUGUCCUUUCGGAAGAUAGCCUCGACCGCCUCCUGGCCGGAGGCGAACUUGGUGGCGAUGUCCAUCAGCUCGCUCGCCCUGGUGGGGGUCUUGCGACCUAGCUUGCUCACCAGGUCGCGGCAGGUGGUGCCGGCGAGGAACGCGCCGAUGACAUCCGAGUCGGUGAUGUUGGGCAGCUCGGUGCGCUGCUUCGAGAAUCGCCGGAUGUAGUCCCGGAGAGACUCUCCCGGCUGCUGCCGGCAGCUUCGGAGGUCCCAGGAAUUCCCGGGGCGCAUGUACGUGCCCUGGAAAUUGCCGCUGAAAGCUUGGACUAGGUCGUCCCAGUUGGAGAUCUGCCCCGGAGGCAGGUGCUCCAACCAGGCGCGAGCGGUGUCGGAGAGGAACAGGGGGAGGUUGCGGAUGAUGAGGUUGUCAUCGUCCGUUCCACCCAGUUGGCAGGCCAGACGGUAGUCCGUGAGCCAUAGUUCCGGUCUCGUCUCCCCCGAGUACUUUGCGAUAGUAGUCGGGGGUCGGAACCGGGUCGGGAACGGUGCCCGUCGGAUGGCCCGGCUGAAGGCCUGCGGACCGGGUGGUUCGGGCGAGGGACUCCGAUCCUCCCCGCUGUCGUAGCGUCCCCCACGCCUGGGGUGGUAGCCUCAGCGCAGCCUCUCGUCGAGGUGGGCCCGACGGUCGCGGUGAUGGUGCUCGUUGCCGAGGCGGCCCGGGGCCGCAGGCGCGGUGUUGCGCGUGCGCCCGGUGUAGACCGAGGCUUCCCGCAUGAAUCGGGAAGUCGCGACAUGAGGUUCCGAGGGGUACCCCUGCCUUCGGGAGGCAGAGCUCUCAGCCCGUCGGACCGCAGCGCCUUCCAGGAGAUUCUUGAGCUCCCCCUAGAUUCGCCGGCCCUCGGUGGUUGAUGGCUCCGGCAUCGCGCGGAGAAGCAUCGCUGCUGCAGCCAGGUUCUGGCCGACCCCACUAGAUGCGGGUGGUGGCCUGACCCUGACGUCGUCGGCGACGCGGUGCUGGAAGCCCUGGGGCAGAUGACGUAUUUCUCCGGCCGGGGGUUGGCCCGCCCAUGCCUGCCCGACGUCCCGGCGGAUCGGCUCAAGCGCUCCUGCUCCCUCGUCGAGCCUGGCCUACACCCCGCAGAUUUGCUCGAGCUGUGGGUCAUGGCCCCCCGCCUGAACGGGGACCACAGCUAGCUCCCGUGGGAUGUCAACGCGGGGCACCGGCCUAGGGAGAUCACCGUCCUUCGGCAUGCCGAGAUGAUUGCCUUCGGAGGGACCCCCUAGAUCGACGUGGAAACAUUCGCGGCUUGGGCCGCAGUCCUCGUCGCCGAGGCUGCGGCUACCGUCGGAACAGUCGGAGAGGCAGUAGUCACAUGCGGUCAUGAAGUCCCGCAUGGCACUGGGGUUGCCAAGUCCAGAGAAAUCCCAGCAGAUGCUGAGCUCGUCGUCUUCCUCGGACCCAGAGGGCCCGUAGGUCGAGACGUCCGUCAGCCGGUCCCAAGGCGGCCGCAUGCGAAACCCCAGAGGGUUUGGACUCGCCUCUAUGAGAGCGCCCGCCAAAGCGGGGUCGCUAGGCGGGUUGAGGCUGAAUCCAAAUGACGCGGGAUGGGAAUCGGUCGGUACCUCUUGGUCGAUGAGCGGUGAUAAAGUCACGUCGGGGACUGACUGCACCGUCGUCUCAGGUAUGAGGGUGACGUCCAGCAAGCCUUUCGCGAGCGCGCUGGCGUCGUCCGCUUGCUCGGGAUUGGCGUGUCGCGGGGAGACGGCGCUCGUCUUCGUCUCAAGCGCGAAGUCGAUACUCGGUGCGCCCCCCGUUGGGGUGCCGGCGCUGUCGACUCGCUCGACAGCCGACGAGGCGCUGCCUCCUGCUUGGCCUUGGUUGCCCUGCCUUCCCCUCCGUCGGCGGGGAAGAGGGUGGGAUGAGAUCGAAGGUUGUUCUUCCACCACACGGGGAAGACGUCGUCGAUUCCGCCGCCGGCGGGCGGGCUGUCGGCCGCCAUUGUCGUUGUUGCGCGGCGGUGGAAGGAGUAUCAUGUCGUAGCUGCCGUCGAGGGACAUGAACUCAAGACUCCCGAAACGGAGCACCGUCCCGGAUUGGAGAGGUUGCUGGAGACUGCCCAUCUGGAGCUUGACGGGAAGUUGUUCGUCAACACGCAGCAGGCCCCUACCUGGCGCGCCAACUGUCGGCGUUUCGAGACCGGGGGGUCCCUGGGCCGACGAGUGAAUGUCGUCGCGUGCCCCAGCCCAGAUGGGUCGAGCGCGAGGGCGAGCGCGAAGGGGGGAGAGCGAGGCGGCCGGAGACCGGCGUGAGAGAGGUGGGAAUCCCGCGGCCUUCGUGUUCGUCCCGCGCCCAGGUUGGGUGCGCUUGCAGUAGGGGGUUACAAGCGUCCACGCGGGAGAGGGAGCGAGCGGCUUCAAGCGAGCGCCUAUCUCGUCCUCAUCCCCGCGCGGCCAACCCUCUCUAAGAGGGCCCUGGUCCUUCCUUUUAUAGGCGUAAGGAGAGGAUCCAGGUGUACAAUAGGGGGUGUAGCAGAGUGCUACGUGUCUAGCGGAGGAGAGCUAGCGCCCUAAGUACAUGUCGUUGUGGCAGCCGGAGAGAUUUUGGCACCCAGCUGGUGUGAUGUCGUGGCCGUCGGAGGAGCGACGGAGCCUGGCGGAGGGACAGCUGUCGGAGCGGUUGAGUCCUUGCUGACGUCCUCCUGCUUCCGUAAAGGGACUGAGAGCCGCCGUCGUCACAGAGUAUGCGGGGCACCAUCAUUGCCUAUCUGGCGGAGCGAGCCAGAUGGGACGCCGGUCUUGUUCCCUGCGGCCCGAGUCAGCUCGGGGUAGGGUGAUGAUGGCGCCUCCUGUCAACGUGGCUGGUCUGCGCCCUAGGUUGGGCGAUGUGGAAGCUCCUCCGAAGUCGAGGUUGAGUCUGUCUUCCGUGGCCGAGGUCGAGUCCGAGCCCCUGGGUCGGGCGAGGCGGUGUUCGUCGUCUUCUAGGGCUGAGCCCAAGUCCGAGCCCUGGGUCGGGCGGAGCGGAGUUCGUCGUCUUCUGGGGCUGAGCCCAAGUCCGAGCCCUGGGUCGGGCGGAGCGAAGUUUGCCGUCUUUCGGGGCUGAGCCCGAGUCCGAGCCCUGGGUCGGGCGGAGCGGAGUUCGCCGUCUUCCGGGGCUGAGCCCGAGUCCGAGCCCUGGGUCGGGCGGAGCGGAGUUCGCCGUCUUCCGGGACUUAGCCCGAGUCCGAGCCCUGGGUCGGGCGGAGCUUCCUAUGGUGCCUUCGGGAGGGCCUGACUGCCUGUCAGUCUCACUCUGUCAAGUGGCACCGCAGUCGGAGUGGCGCAGGCGGCGCUGUCCUUCUGUCAGGUUGGUCAGUGGAGCGGCGAAGUGACGGCGGUCACUUCGGCUCUGCCGGCUGGGGCGCGCGCGUCAGGAUAAAGGUGUCAGGUCACCUUUGCAUUAAAUGCUCCUGCGAUUUGGUCGGUCGGUGCGGCGAUUUAGUCAGGGUUGCUUCUUGGCGACGGCAGGGCCUCGGGCGAGCCGGAAAUAUGUUCGCCGCUGGAGGGGGGCCUCGGGCGAGACGGAAAUCCUCCGGGGUCGGCUACCCUUGUCCGAGGCUAGGCUCGGGCGAGACGUGAUCGAGUCCCUCGAAUGGACUGAUCCCUGACUUAAUCGCGCCCAUCAGACCUUUGCAGCUUUAUGCUGAUGGGGGUUACCAGCUGAGAAUUAGGAGCCUUGAGGGUACCCCUAAUUAUGGUCCCCGACAAUACAUUUAUGAUCUUAAUACUUGCUCAUAAACGUAGCCUAAAUUGAUAGGGAUUAACUAGUCUUUCCCUUUUCGGCUCAACAUUAUGCUUGAUCUUUAUCAUCGCUUUAAACCGAAGCUAUUACUCUUUGAUCAUAGCUUUGUCGCUCAUUGUUGUCGUUCUGGGGUUAUACCUUUGUCUUGAAGACCUUCGACGAAGGAAAGAACUUCCAUCAUGAAUAGAAUCUCCUGUAAUAAUCAAUAUUAUGCUAAAAAACAAAUGAUUAGUCGUAUUUUUUAGAUCUUCGGAAAAGCAAGGCCCCCAAUAUCUAUCAUCUAGAUCCUUAUUACAUACUUAGAUAUGACAAUGGACACUCGAUUCCUCAUGGAAAAAUUUCUCUAUUUUAAACUCAUACCAUUAGUUUGGCCACCUUUCUCAUUUUUACCCUUAGUUGUAUUUUUUUGUUCAAUUUUUGUAACAAUGAGGACAACAGCAAAACGAGGAAAAAUUCUCUCCCGACGGGUCAACGGGGACAGGGAUCGGGAAACAUUCUCCAUCCUUGUUCUCCAUGAAGACCUGUUAAACUUAUAUAUGACGAUGUUUUCAUGUUAUUUAAUGAUAAAAAUAAAUAAUUAUCUUAUCAAUAGGUCACAGGUUAUACAAAUAUGUUCAUUUUAAUGUACACAUAAUAAUUUUUACAUCUAAAAUAUAUAAAAUAUGUAUAAAUGACAAUGUUUUAUAUUAAUAACAAAUGAAGUACGAUCUACUAUAAUUUAAGCGGGGAUAGAGGAUCCGAAACGGAUUUAUCCCCACAGGGAUAAGAUAGAAAUAUCCCCACAAGCAUCCGUGGAAGAAAUCCCCGUAGAGAAUUUUUUUCGUCGCAGAGACGGAUUUUGAGAACUAAAACACGACGUAGAAAUAUCCGUUACCAUCCUAUACAACUACCUCUGUUUAUACAUACUACCUCCAAUCUGGAAUAUUGCCGCCUACAGUUCAUUUUUAAACUAAAAUAUUGCCGCCUAGUUAAUUUUUAAACUCUAGUUUAACUGUUAGUGUUAAAGUCAACAAUUCUGGAUCGCCAGUGUCAGCUAACAAUAAAUAAGCAGAGAACAGCAUCUCAUAUGAAUGAGAAAGUAAAUUAUCGAUGACCAAACAAAAAUGAGGAUGCAAAGGAACUUAGUACAUCAGUACUCGAACACAGAAGAUCGCCACGAGUAAUCUUAAUUUUAAACUUGUUUCAAGACAAAAUCUUAGGGCCAGAUGAAAACACGUAGCCAAGACAACUCUAUAAGUUCACGUCAUAAGCAACCUCAUGUCCAGACUCGCCUAGAUACAGAAGUAGCAAACAAACUACUCGGCAGCAGCAACCUCCUGCCCAGCCUCAUCUCCCUCGACAGGCCUCUCAAGCUUCACACCAACAUCCUCUUUGUAGUCGCCAUGAACCUGAGAAGCAACAAGUUUUAGGAUAAAAAGUAACAGGGAGAUAGUCUGGAAAAUCUAUUUGCAUGCAUGUAGCAAUUACCUCCAUGAGUUUCCCAAGAUCGAACUUGGGGGCCUUGAGUAUCUUCACCUUGCGGAUGAAGACGUUUUGAAGUGGGAAGAUGCUGGAGGUAGACUUCUCAAUCUCCUUACCAAUAACUUCUGGAAUGAACUUCGAAACAAGUUCUUUCAGGUCACAUGUAGAAGCCUGGUUGAUCAUAAUCUCAACCAUCUUACGGCGGAUCUG